CUUCCAUCAAUUUAAUAUCGUCAACUCUCAGUAUCCAUUCACGAAUUGAAGGUGGUAUGGGUUGUUUCCAAUGUUUAGGGAUUAGUUGGGAAGCCGCCAUGACUAAGUGGCGAAACAGGUCCGUCUCUAGCGUCGUGAGUUUAUGGGGUGGUAAGAAAAAGAUAUAAUAUUCCGGGAUACAAGGGAAAGUCUUAUGGAAUAUUAGUUGUACGAUAGUG